AGCAGCAGACAAUCGCGCUUUGAAAACUUUAUUUUACGAAGAAAAUAUCUCGGCGCCACCGCCACGCCCAGAGUCGAACCGAAUGAUCGAGGGACGACGGACAGCCGGCCGCAGAUAUUUUCCCACCAGCCGGCUCUUUGAUUUCUCUCUGAUGCGUCCUGAUUGGGGAAUGGAACACGGAUCUGCAUGCCAGUUGCCACUUUGUUUGGCGGCUCGCGCGCAGUUGGUCCUCCUCCCUCUCUCGCUUGACCUGUUGUCCAUAUGAUAUGCCAGCACCUGGCAAUGCAAGGGCAAGCUGAAGCUGAAGGAUUGCUGAUUUGCCGUUACAGAUGGACCUAUACGUUUCGUGGUUGCUCAAUGCUCCGUGGUGAAUCGGUGAUUGGUGACCCCGGCUAGGCGGCGCGUGAUGGGCGAACGCGGCUGGUGGACAAGACGUGGAUCUCGGAUCAGAUUUUCGCCAAUGGCGGUCGCGCGCGCCAGUGGAUCGCCGGCAUCUGGGCUCUUUUAUUAUUAUUAUUAUUUAUGCAAUUGAUCAGGGCAAGUGGUCACGGAGUAUUGAUUUAUCUGGAAUACUAUUGACGUGUGAGACAACAAUCAUGGAGUUGAUUUGCGUCAGUGGUCACAUACAGUGCAAUUGGGCCAUUCACAGUGUUGUGGUGAUUGGUGAAUGGUGA
rnacentral:lncRNA from 1 species